rnacentral:rRNA from 1 species
CCCUUAGAUGUUCUGGGCCGCGCGCGCGCUACACUGAUGAACGCAACGAGACCACCUGUACCGAAAGGCAUGGGUAAACUUGUGAAAGUUCAUCGUGAUGGGGAUAGAUUAUUGCAAUUAUUAAUCUUCAACGAGGAAUUCCUAGUAAACGCAAGUCAUCAGCUUGCAUUGAUUACGUCCCUGCCCUUUGUACACACCGCCCGUCGCACCUACCGAUUGGAUGGUCCGGUGAGAAUUUCGGAUUGUAGAUACGUCGCUUUUAUUAGGGAUGUGUCCGCGAGAAGUUAUUCAAACCUUACCAUCUAGAGGAAGGUGAAGUCGUAACA